UUAUAAAAUAAUUUGUUAUAGAUACCAGUAGUGCUACUCCUGUACUCAAUGUACAGGACUCCACGGAGGCCACUGAAGUUACUGAGGCAGCUGCUGCUACAUUUGAAGUUGACUGGUCCCAGUACACUCCAGCAAUGUUGAGAGCCCCAGUUACCUCAGCACUUGUUGCCUCAAGGAGUCCAUCACCUGAUGCAACUGGCAGUAGGUGGCAGUGGUGUGGUGGUCUACACGAAAGAACAACUAUAACUCCACCUAGAGCUAUAUCCACUGAAAGCCCUAUAGCGACGCCAAGUGACAGGAGGCCAAUUUUACGGCGUGAAAGCCUUAACGAGCAAUGCAUCAGCACAUUGGUAAAAUGUAAUCAACAUGCUGAUGAAGAAAAAGCCGCAAAUAUGGCAAUUUUGCGGCUUCAAGAGCAGAGGGAGCAAGAAAUACUGGUACAAGUAAAAUUAAAAACUGAACAAGAGAAAUUAAAACUAGAAAUUUUAAAGUUACAAUUAAAAAAAUUACAAGAUUAUCUGUAUUGUUAUCAUUUCC